rnacentral:rRNA from 1 species
ACAGCAAUAUGAAGGUCAGGCUGAAGACCUUACCCGAUUAGCUGAGAGGUGGUGCAUGGCCGUCGUCAGUUCGUACUGUGAAGCAUCCUGUUAAGUCAGGCAACGAGCGAGACCCACGUCCACAGUUGCCAGCAUACCCUCCGGGGUGAUGGGUACACUGUGGAGACCGCCGCUGCUAAAGCGGAGGAAGGAGUGGGCAACGGUAGGUCAGUAUGCCCCGAAUCUCCCGGGCUACACGCGGGCUACAAUGGUUGGUACAAUGGGCAUCUACCCCGAAAGGGGAAGGAAAUCUCUUAAAGCCAAUCGUAGUUCGGAUUGAGGGCUGCAACUCGCCCUCAUGAAGCUGGAAUCCGUAGUAAUCGCGUUUCAACAGAACGCGGUGAAUACGUCCCUGCUCUUU